AUGAAUUGAAGGUCUCUUCCAGCAUGGAAUGCCAUGAUCCUUACCCUCCCGUGUUCAGAUGCUCUGCACCAUCUUCUGGCUAACCUCACAUUUUCUAAAGAUCUUUACAUAAGCACCUACUUGGUCCAGUGCUAUUAUCAGACCCAUUUUACAAAUGGGGAAACAGAUUGAAUGAAGUGACUUUCUCAGGAUCACAAGGAUGUUAAGGUCUGAGAAGGAGAGUGAUCACUAAGAUCCAAAGAGAUAAGAGAAGG
rnacentral:lncRNA from 1 species